UGGUAUCUGGCCUCCAAUCUUCGAGAUGC
rnacentral:piRNA from 1 species